UUAUUCUUAAAUAUUUAUGUAUGUUGUAUUUGCACAACAAAUGCUAGGUUAUAUUCAAACCCAGCAUUGAGUCAAAAAGGAAGAACCCAACCCACUGGGUUGUAAUUUAACUAAUGAUGGGUUGUUUUAACCUAUAGGGUCAAAAAUAAACAUUUUCUCUGUUAAUUUAACCCUUUGGAUGGAUUUGUCCCUUUGUAACCCAAUGCUGGGUUGAAAAUAGCCCAGUAUUUUUUAAAGUGUGUAUUUUUUGCCUUUGGUGUCAUUGUUGCAGGACAAGAGGACAUGUUGUCAGCUGAAUAGUAGAAUGUUUUUAACGCAAAUACAAAAUAACAAACAUCAGGAAACACUAAAAUGAUCGUAUUUCUGGUUAUAUUUCAGACAACAUGCAGAUAAGACAGAUUGUGGCUUUCAUUUGAUCCUGGAAGUAAUGUAGUGUCAUCAUUAUAAGAGCGGUCCAGUUACAUUUGCAUCAAUUAGUCCACAGUUAGAGCUCAAACCGAAUGACAUUUCAAGUAUUUUUAGCACAGUUUAGUAUUUUUAGCUCAAAAAUUAAAGAAAGAAAUAUGGGGGAUUUGAUUUUAUCCUUUGGAAAUUCAUUAUUGUUGCUUAAAUUAGCUAAUUGACAAACUGAUGGGAUGUCUGUUUGUUUCCCUGAGGAGCCCAAACCUUUAACCAAUCUAUACAGUUCAUGUCACUUCCAGGUUUCCAUGCUGUUGGUUUGUAUACUUUCUUUCUUUUUUUCUUUUAAUCGCUAUGCCAGCUUCUAAGGCUAUAUUUAUGGCGAGAAUAAAUCUAUAAUAUAGAUUAUAUAACGUAAGAAAGAUUAGAAAAGAUGAAAAUUCAUUUAAUUUAAAAGUCUUUGAACUAUGUUUGGAUUAACUUGAUUAAAAACUU